rnacentral:pre_miRNA from 1 species
GGUCUCUGCUGGGCGUCUGUCUGCCCGCAUGCCUGCCUCUCUGUUGCUCUGAAGGAGGCAGGGGCUGGGCCUGCAGCUGCCUGGGCAGAGCGG